rnacentral:misc_RNA from 1 species
AUAUAUAUAUAUAUAUAUAUCACUCAGUGCAAAAGCUAUUUAAUUGCAUGCAUAUUCAGACUUAGAAGACAAUUUUUUUUUUCUUCCAGAAAAUCAUAUAUCAGAUACAGCAGAAGCAAUGGGUAUCCGAUUGCUUAAAGCGAAGCAGAUUGUGCGACGAAUUCUUUCGUCUCCAGAGACUUCCAGCAGUAUUGUGCCCAAAGGGCAUUUUGCAGUUUAUGUUGGAGAAACCCAGAAGAAGAGAUUUGUUGUUCCCAUCUCAUACUUGAAGAACCCUUCAUUCCAAAAGUUGCUUAGUCAGGUUGAAGAAGAGUUCGGCUUUAAUCAUCCUAUGGGAGGCCUUACAAUCCCUUGUAGUGAAGAACACUUCACUGAACUCAUCUCUUCUAGUUUCUAGAUACACCUUAAGUUAUAGACUCAACCCUAAGGGAUAUGUUUUAUGUAUACGUACACGUGUUUCUAGCUAAGUGACUAACACCAUUGACUCAAUUACCAAUUCUGAGAUUUCUCUUCAAUCUUCAUAAUGAAGAAACAUAUAUAAAUUAAUGUAAAUUUCUUUCAUAUAUAUAUAGUUUGAUUUUAGUGAUCUAUAUGUGUUGGAUGAAUUUUGAUUUGGGUUUUCA